ACUCCUACGGGAGGCAGCAGUGGGGAAUAUUGCACAAUGGAGGAAACUCUGAUGCAGCGACGCCGCGUGAACGAUGAAGGCUUUCGAGUCGUAAAGUUCUGUCCUAGGGGACGAUAAUGACGGUACCCUAGGAGGAAGCCCCGGCUAACUACGUGCCAGCAGCCGCGGUAAUACGUAGGGGCAAGCGUUGUCCGGAUUUAUUGGGCGUAAAGGGUACGCAGGCGGCCUUUUAAGUCAGAUGUGAAAGAUCACGGCUCAACCGUGGUAAGCAUUUGAAACUGGAAGGCUUGAGUUAAGGAGAGGAAAGUGGAAUUCCUAGUGUAGCGGUGAAAUGCGUAGAUAUUAGGAGGAAUACCAGUGGCGAAGGCGACUUUCUGGACUUAUACUGACGCUGAGGUACGAAAGCGUGGGGAGCGAACAGGAUUAGAUACCCUGGUAGACUCUG
rnacentral:rRNA from 1 species